AAAGUAGAGGUUGCGUAUUGCAUCAGUAAGCGGAUGGAUGUGCCAGACACAGAUAAAGUCCACUGAAAGGGUAACACGCCGAAAGGUAACGGUAUCUGGAGCCGGUAUCUUGGGUAUACAGUUAAGAGCUGUAUAACUGUCAUCUUUUAGAGAUGGAGGGCUGCUUUU
rnacentral:ncRNA from 1 species